rnacentral:rRNA from 1 species
GAUGAACGCUGGCGGCGUGCCUAAUACAUGCAAGUCGAGCGAACUGAUUAGAAGCUUGCUUCUAUGACAUUAGCGGCGGACGGGUGAGUAACACGUGGGCAACCUGCCUGUAAGACUGGGAUAACUUCGGGAAACCGAAGCUAAUACCGGAUAGGAUCCUCUCCUUCAUGGGAGAUGAUUGAAAGAUGGUUUCGGCUAUCACUUACAGAUGGGCCCGCGGUGCAUUAGCUAGUUGGUGAGGUAACGGCUCACCAAGGCAACGAUGCAUAGCCGACCUGAGAGGGUGAUCGGCCACACUGGGACUGAGACACGGCCCAGACUCCUACGGGAGGCAGCAGUAGGGAAUCUUCCGCAAUGGACGAAAGUCUGACGGAGCAACGCCGCGUGAGUGAUGAAGGCUUUCGGGUCGUAAAACUCUGUUGUUAGGGAAGAACAAGUACAAGAGUAACUGCUUGUACCUUGACGGUACCUAACCAGAAAGCCACGGCUAACUACGUGCCAGCCGCCGCAGUAA